GCAUCUUAUUGACUCUCUUCCUUCACAGAAACUUCGCAACAUUCGUGAAUAAAUAAAUCGCCAAUUACUUUCGCAUGGGGGACAAGGAAUCGCUCUCCAAAUAGCCAUCGGAUCGAGAACUGACUGCGUGCAGUGCAGUUUAAUUACAGAAUCGGAAAUGAGUUUGAUUUGGGUCGAUAUUUCUAUUCUCCUUCGUCGAAUUCUUUUCACAACGUGACAAUUUUUUCUACCAUCUCCAACGAUCAAUUAUUCAACGGAUAAUAGCCAGACAAGACUUUUUACCGUCCCUUGCAAACGGUUUUGCAGGCAAUGGUGGUCACACGAGUCCAACCAAUACUGCUCUGUUUCUCCGUCGUUUUUUUCGACAAUGACAGUUUUCUACCCCACCAAACGGUUGUGAAAGCUCUCGCAUCAGUCGAGUGACCCAUCACUGUUGCACAGUUCCUUCAACCACCUACGUCAACUGUCGUGGACCUCCGACGACGUUAAAGACUAUGAGGAAGGGGACGGUCUGCCAGGAGCUCGGCAAUCGAUAUUCGAUCGUGUUACUGACCUACUGAGUUACUACACUGAGAAAAAAGUCAUUGGAACAACGAAAUGUGACAUUGUGGGGUGCCGAUGGAAUAUAUCACAGGUUUAAGAUCAUCACAAGAUCAUCACAGUGUAGUGGAUUGAGUCGUCGAUCGCCCCAUCAAUAGAAACCGGGGAAAACCUUAAAUUUUUCAACAUUUUCACAGUGAAAACAGCAAGUUUAAUAAAAAUAGUAUCACAGAAUAAAUUCAUCAGUGACGUAACUUUUCCUAUCCCAUGUGUGUCACUUAGAGUGGAACGAACUCGUUUGAGACUAGGAUCGAAAAGGCAUGUUUUUAACUACAGCAGCAAAACGUAGGUCCGACUCACCAGCAGGUAUCGGGAUUUAAAAAUAAAUACACAUAUUUGAUUUAGCAUUGUUGUGGGAAAUUUAUUUCUUGUGAUUGUUCAUUUUUCAGCGCUGAAGUUUUGAAAAGUAUUUUAUAAAAGUCCUUCCUCGCCACAUCUUUGGGACAGUUUGAUUUUUCAAGUUCCCAGAAACUCAACGUGGAACCUGAUAAAAUCUGAGUUUCGGCGCGGACACAGGAAAUUGUUAUCAAAUUGCUGCUUGUCAAAAAAAAAAAAAAAUA